rnacentral:misc_RNA from 1 species
GUAGGUGAACCUGCGGAAGGAUCAUUACAGAGUUCAUGCCCUUACGGGUAGAUCUCCCACCCUUGAAUAUUAUACCUUAGUUGCUUUGGCAGGCCGUGGAAACACCACGGGCUUCGGCUUGUGUCGUGCCUGCCAGAGGAAACAAACUCUGUUUUUAGUGAUGUCUGAGUACUAUAUAAUAGUUAAAACUUUCAACAACGGAUCUCUUGGUUCUG